rnacentral:sRNA from 1 species
AGCUUCGACUAAGGUUCGACUCGAGCGUCAGCGAGAGAACGUUGCCGCAGGCAACGGCCCGAAGGGCGAGGCGCUUUAGCGCCGAGUAAUCCUUCCCCCACCACCA